AGGUCUCUGUGUUGUCACAUGGAAAAUGGAACUUUCCACCUCCUCGGGAUGUUAUGAUGAUAGAUGUAACAAGCUCAGCACAGUGCCUGUACAGGUGGAGGCAAUGCCCAGAGCUGUGGCAGCCACCUUGCAGCCGUGAAGCACCAGUGGGAAUGACAGUCAAGAGAACCAUGGAGAUGCCAGCCCCUGGACCCACAGCAGCAGCACCUGCUUCCAGACUGAGAGUGUGAGAAAAAAAUAAACCCCUAUUUGUUUAUGGCAA
rnacentral:sRNA from 1 species